rnacentral:rRNA from 1 species
UACGUAGGGGGCAAGCGUUGUCCGGAUUUAUUGGGCGUAAAGCGCGUGUAGGCGGCCAGGUAGGUCCGUUGUGAAAACUCGAGGCUCAACUUCGAGCUGUCGGUGGAAACUGUCUGGCUAGAGUCCGGAAGAGGAGAAUGGAAUUCCUGGUGUAGCGGUGAAAUGCGCAGAUAUCAGGAAGAACACCCGUGGCGAAGGCGGUUCUCUGGGACGGUACUGACGCUGAGACGCGAAAGCGUGGGGAGCGAACAGG